GCGCGCUUAGCUCAGUGGUAGAGCACAUCCUUCACACGGAUGGGGUCGCAGGUUCAAGCCCUGCAGUGCGCACCA
rnacentral:tRNA from 1 species